AUUGAACGCUGGCGGCAGGCCUAACACAUGCAAGUCGAGCGAGCCGCGCACGUGUGAGUAAUGUAUGGGGAUCUGCCUGAUGGCGGGGGAUAACCACUGGAAACUGUAUCUAAUACCGCAUACCAUCAGAUGAACCCAUAUGGGAUUAGCUAGUAGGUGGGGUAACGGCUUACCUAGGCGACGAUCCCUAGCUGGUCUGAGAGGAUGAUCAGCCACACUGGAACUGAGACACGGCCCAGACUCCUACGGGAGGCAGCAGUGGGGAAUAUUGCACAAUGGGCGCAAGCCUGAUACAGCCAUGCCGCGUGUAUGAAGAAGGCCUUCGGGUUGUAAAGUACUUUCAGUGGGGAGGCGUUACCGACAGAAGAAGCACCGGCUAACUCCGUGCCAGCAGCCGCGGUAAUUC
rnacentral:rRNA from 1 species